rnacentral:rRNA from 1 species
UACGUAGGACGCAAGCGUUGUCCGGAAUUAUUGGGCGUAAAGAGCUCGUAGGCGGUUUGUCGCGUCUGCUGUGAAAACUGGAGGCUCAACCUCCAGCCUGCAGUCGAUACGGGCAGGCUAGAGUUUGGUAGGGGAGACUGGAAUUCCUGGUGUAGCGGUGAAAUGCGCAGAUAUCAGGAGGAACACCGGUGGCGAAGGCGGGUCUCUGGGCCAAUACUGACGCUGAGGAGCGAAAGCGUGGGGAGCGAACAGG